AUGUGCCAAGCGUUGUCAAUAAGGUCACUUGCACAAGGCGUCUAUUUAGUCCCAGAGUCAGCAAAGCCAGAUCAGUGGUCUGGGGAGAAGAAACAGCUACUUGAACUUUAUAGGUUAAGAAAAUCCCCAGCUAAAGUGGAUCAUCAUUAAUAAGUUUCCAGUUACAUCCAAAGAAACGUCAACACUGAUGUUUUGCGAUCAGGAGGCUGGAGGAGGAAAUUGCUUUCCCAUCCUGGGAAAAUUUAGAAGAUUUAGAUUGCUUCCUCCUAUUCAGAGGGAUCCUUGGGAUGUAUCAUAUUACCAGCUUCCAGUGCCUGACACAAGAACUCGCUCAGAGUACAGAGUGCCUUCAGAAUUUGGCCCAGCUACGGAGUCAGUCCUUCAGCCAGAUCUGUCACAAGAGACUUGGACUGAAUGGAGACGUGGCCUUCUCCAAAACAGUGAAGAAAAAGCUGAUGAAGUACUGCGGACCUAGGCUUUGGGCAUCUUUUUUGCCCAUCUCUGAGAUUGGAAAAGCCUUUCAUCUGCUCCAAGACAGAGAGUAAGUAGAAAGUGAGGAGAGCAGCAGUUUCCCAUGCAACCCCCAGCUUGGGAAAGCAGGUGGAGUGGAGAGGAGAAGCCACCUUUCAAUUGUGUUUUAAUGAACAAGUUGUUUGUUCUCCCAUGUCCUUUGAUGAAUGGGUGUUUUCCUUCAAAAGCUGACGUUUGUCUUUCAUUACACCCAGCAUAUGCUCUACUAGGCAGGACCGUUUUUCUACUCUAGAUAAACAAACAUGAAAAUGAAUUUAUCUCGCAGAAGCAUGUUCUCUUUCAAGUCUGGCACAAGCCUGCCCUCUCCCCCAAUAAAUCUCUGGGUAAAUGUGAACUCCUCAGCAAGGCCCCCCCCUUACAUCAAAUGGAGACAUUUUGUAAGCUCCCAUCUCCGCACAGCUCAGGAAAGUUGCCACUGACUCCAGGCAUUUAGAGGCAGCGAUUUAACUAUAACUCACAGCUGAAUUUGAGAGCUCUUUAUCAUGAAAAAGAAACUUUUCCAAACCAGAAAGCAUCCAAAUCCUUUUCCCAGCUAGUGGUGGAUAGCAUUUUAACCCUCAAAUUGUGGGGGUGAUGUGAAACAGCACUGCCUGCAGGGUCUUGCAUGGUAUCUACUGUUGGAUGGAAGUUGGGUAGUAUAUUAUGAUGCCAGUUAAAGUCUCCGCUUUGAGAAACAGCCUGUUCAUUUGGUGCACAGGCCUGUGGAUAAAGCUAGUUGAAUCUUUAAAUGCAGUUUGGUUUCCUUCCAAACUUAAUCCUAUCUGCUGUUUGUACUUUAUUGGUUCACAACCUGAUCCUGCAGAUAGUUUCUUUGUGUUUAGACAUGGCAAAAUAUGUCCAGAAAUUACAGUCCCUGAACCUCCCUGUCAUUGCGUGCCUUAAACCCACUGAAAUGUACACCGAAACCAAAGCACACUGGAGCUCUUUGCAGUUACUCACCUUCAACACAGGAGAGAUGUAUCUUUUGAACGAGUUCAGACAAAGACAGAAAGCUGGAUGGUAGUCCUUCACAUUUCUGGACAAAUAAUCAUUCAACCUUAUGUCAAUUAAACUUUCGCAAUCUGUCAGUAUUUUCACAAAUGUGACAAGUAGUUUAACCAAAUAAUGGUCCUGAUUUAUGAAAGUACUUAAGCAUGUGCUUGACUCUAACUGCAUGUUGGUAUCUCCUUGAAGUCAAUGAUACUGAGGGGUAUCUGUGAUUACGUGCACGUUUAAGUGCCUUUGAAUGCUUAACUGAUAUCUUGAAUAGGGCCAGUAUUAGUCAUUUGGUAACACCUGUCCUACUGUAGGAGCAUAUUAAUAAAUCAACCUGGUCAA